rnacentral:tRNA from 1 species
GCCUGGGUGGCUCAGUAGGUUGAGCUUCCGACUUCGGCUCAGGUCAUGAUCUCACGGUCUGUGAGUUCGAGCCCCGCCUCGGGCU